rnacentral:rRNA from 1 species
UUUUGGACAAUGGGCGCAAGCCUGAUCCAGCAAUGCCGCGUGAGUGAAGAAGGCCUUCGGGUUGUAAAGCUCUUUUGUCAGGGAAGAAACGGUGAGCUCUAAUACAGUUUGCUAAUGACGGUACCUGAAGAAUAAGCACCGGCUAACUACGUGCCAGCAGCCGCGGUAAUACGUAGGGUGCAAGCGUUAAUCUGAAUUACUGGGCGUAAAGCGUGCGCAGGCGGUUAUGUAAGUCAGAUGUGAAAUCCCCGGGCUCAACCUGGGAAUGGCAUUUGAGACUGCAUGGCUAGAGUGUGUCAGAGGGGGGUAGAAUUCCACGUGUAGCAGUGAAAUGCGUAGAGAUGUGGAGGAAUACCGAUGGCGAAGGCAGCCCCCUGGGAUAACACUGACGCUCAGCACGAA